CCUACGGGAGGCAGCAGUGGGGAAUUUUGGACAAUGGGCGAAAGCCUGAUCCAGCAAUGCCGCGUGAGUGAAGAAGGCCUUCGGGUUGUAAAGCUCUUUUGUCAGGGAAGAAACGGUGAGAGCUAAUAUCUCUUGCUAAUGACGGUACCUGAAGAAUAAGCACCGGCUAACUACGUGCCAGCAGCCGCGGUAAUACGUAGGGUGCAAGCGUUAAUCGGAAUUACUGGGCGUAAAGCGUGCGCAGGCGGUUUUGUAAGUCUGAUGUGAAAUCCCCGGGCUCAACCUGGGAAUUGCAUUGGAGACUGCAAGGCUAGAAUCUGGCAGAGGGGGGUAGAAUUCCACGUGUAGCAGUGAAAUGCGUAGAUAUGUGGAGGAACACCGAUGGCGAAGGCAGCCCCCUGGGUCAAGAUUGACGCUCAUGCACGAAAGCGUGGGGAGCAAACAGGAUUAGAUACCCUGGUAGUCCACGCCCUAAACGAUGUCUACUAGUUGUCGGGUCUUAAUUGACUUGGUAACGCAGCUAACGCGUGAAGUAGACCGCCUGGGGAAGUCGGUCGCAAGNUUAAAACUCAAAUGAUAGAGNGNGAGACGNGCGACGGACGACGACGAGGGAGGAGG
rnacentral:rRNA from 1 species